GGGGGCGACCUGGUUUCGACGUGGGUAGCGAAGCAGCGCAGGGCAUGCCAAGGUCCAGUCACCUUGUUAAACCGCUGGAAAUCCAUAAACGCCAACGACGAGCGUUACGCUCUAGCCGCCUAACAC
rnacentral:tmRNA from 1 species